rnacentral:lncRNA from 1 species
AUUUGGAAGCAUACUUAGUAAUGUAUUUUUUCAUACCAUUCUACUAAAAUUGAGGUCUUAAAUUCUGAUACAUUUUAGUACUACCAGAUGGAUGACGAAUUUAAAGUAAUGAGCCUCAAUCAAAAUGCCUUUUUUUAGUUUAUCAUUAUUAGAAACACACACCCUGUCAUGAAAUCUGAGCAACCCAUCAUCAGACACUCUCAACUCUGGCUUCAAACCCUGCUCUGUGUCCUUCUUAAUGACCAAUAAUGUGGAGUCAGUCAACUGGGCAUCUCUGAUAUGUUAAAGUAUUGCAGGUUGGACAUUUAAAUUGGUCAAAUAAACACC